rnacentral:rRNA from 1 species
UGGGGAAUCUUAGACAAUGGGGGCAACCCUGAUCUAGCCAUGCCGCGUGGAUGAUGAAGGCCUUAGGGUCGUAAAGUCCUUUCGCCGGGGAAGAUAAUGACGGUACCCGGUAAAGAAGUCCCGGCUAACUCCGUGCCAGCAGCCGCGGUAAUACGGAGGGGGCUAGCGUUGUUCGGAUUGACUGGGCGUAAAGCGCGCGUAGGCGGAUCGUCAAGUCGGGGGUGAAAUCCCGGGGCUCAACCCUGGAAUGGCCUUCGAGACUGGCGGUCUUGAGUUCGAGAGAGGUGGGUGGAAUUCCGAGUGUAGAGGUGAAAUUCGUAGAUAUUCGGAGGAACACCAGUGGCGAAGGCGGCCCACUGGCUCGACACUGACGCUGAGGCGCGAAAGCGUGGGGAGCAA